ACGGCAGAGUCUGAGGCCCAGACUGGGUCCCCUGAGUCUUUAGCAUGGGGCUCUUCCAAGACCCCGGAGGGUUAUCCACAGGGGAUGGCCCUGCUGGCACUUACGGAGGGGAGAGCUUAUGGGAGACACGUCGGUGGCAGAGAACCUGUGACAGUCGUUCCCAUUCGUUGUCUAAGACGUUGUCGUUCAUACAGUGUAUGAGCUCAGUGGAGAGCACCAUGACGAAGAGUGGUCAGUGAAGACUUACCAGGAAGUAGCUCAGAAGUUUGUGGAAACUCACCCUGAGUUCAUUGGAAUCAAAAUCAUUUAUUCGGAUCACAGAUCCAAAGAUGUGGCUGUCAUCGCAGAAUCCAUCCGAACGGCCAUGGGGCUCCGAACCAAGUUCCCCACGGUGGUGGCAGGGUUUGACCUGGUAACCCAUGCUGUGAACAGAAGGGCUGCCUGUUAACGGGGCAUGCGAGGAUGCCUGUCUGGGUGGAGCGGCAACUCCCUGGGAAGGGAGCGCAAUGUGCCUGUUGGUACCCUGACAUCCCAGGGCAGGCUCAGGCUGCUGACGCAGCAGGGCUGCUC
rnacentral:sRNA from 1 species